UGGGAUUAAAGGCGUGUGUCACUACUACCU
rnacentral:piRNA from 1 species